rfam:Nestor notabilis contig26477, whole genome shotgun sequence.
GUUAAAAGCUAGGGCUAGGACUUGGAGGAUGUGUAGGCAAACGGAAGGAGAGCCGGGGGAAGAAAAACCGAAAUGGAUUCAUUCUCUGUCCUGGAUGGAGGAGGAGAGGAGAGGAGAGGAGAAGAGAAGGGGACGUGCGAGCUUCCUUCAGCUGCCUCUGUCCGGUGGAAAGU